CCUGAGCGUCCGGAGCCUGUGCUCUGCAACAGGAGAGGCCACGGCAGUGAGAGGCCCGCAUACCGCAAGAAAAAAAAAAAGUGCUUAUAAACUUUCCUAACACAUAAAUCAUCAAGGGUCCUCAUGUAGGUGGAGUAAAGUAAUUUCACCUGAAAUAAGUUACUGCCGAGCAGGUUGUGGGUCUGCUGUGAUACAAAGUCUGACAUCCAGACAGUACACAGCCCAGAUUUGUGAGCCUCAGCUGUCAGAAAGAAUUAUGGAACGUGGAGAUAAAACUGUCACUGAAAUACAGUCUUUUAUUUUUGAACAGAAAUAAUUUACACAUAGGUAUUAAGGUUGGAAACAUUCCCAUUUUGGUGCCUGGCAGAAGAACCACAGGAUUCCUAUUCAUUUUAAGAAUAUUUAUUGAGAGGCCACCAUGCCAGGACCAGAGCAGGCUGACUGGUAUCUACACAGUAAUGCUACGCAGUCUUUGUUCCAGGUACCAGACUUUUCCAGGAUAUGUAGAACGAUAUUAACUCUUAUCUCUCAAGUCUCCAGGGUCCAUGUGCUCAGUGUGAACACCUGCCAAUGCUGGGUAAUCCUCACAUCCAGCCCCCUGGGCUCCAGUGAACACAGGCCUGACAAGUGAGAAGCCUGCACUGGUGAUGCUACCACUCUGAGGAGUAAAGGACCCUGAGUUUCUUCUUUAAAAAGCGUAGAAUCUCUCCACCUUCUGACAGAUGAGGAAAUAGUUAUAAACAGAUCACUUGUCUGCAAAAACAGGAUGAAACAGUGAGCCAGCUGAAGCCCAGAGAGGGUCACAUGCCUUAUCUGCAGCCACCCAGCUGGUAUGUAGGAAAAUCACCACCAGAACCCAGGUCUUCUGCCUUGGACUGCUGGUUUUUCCCAUUAUACUGCAUUAUCCCUCUGAGAACAGAACUAAUGGCAUCAAUAUAAUUUGUUCUUAACAUGCUGGCUUCUAUAUCACUAGCCACGCCUAGUGAGGUAUCUUCUGUAUCACCUAACCAAACUAAGGAGUAUAGAAAAAAAUACAGAUCUUGCCCUUAAGAAGUUUACUUUUUAAACGAUCUGAAAAUGAAAACAAAAAACAAAAAACCCCACAAGUACACAGAAUUAAACUUGUCCUGACUCUUAUAGUCUUUGACUCCUCUCUUCCGGCAUCUCCAAAAGUCAUCUUCAUUUUUCGACUCUUCUUUGCCAUGUGGUUUACCAAGCAGAAAACAAACAUGUGAUUGGCUAUCAGAAACUUGUGUGUGCAGUGAAAGCCUCAGGCUUCCUUCCCCAGUGCAAAUGACCCUCCAGUCCAACUUUGCUAUUAAGGUGGAAGGCAGCUGCAAUACUGCAGACAGAGAGGCCCUUCCAGAAGACUCCCUCACCUCUACCAGCUCUGCCUCCUUAGCUCCAAUUCUGGAACCACAGUGCCAGCCCUUGCACCCGGGAGCAUCUGUCUGCCUGGUAUUUUCCCAGUGCCGCAUGCUCAUGCAUAACAGCACUGCUUUUGCAGCCGAGACCCACGCAACUUUCCCAAGGCUGCAGGGUUUUUUCUGGGAGCUGCCUGAUGCAUAGAUUGUUAACGGGCAACCCAUACAGUGUUGGGAUUCACGUUAAAAUUCAGUUUUUAAACAUGCUUUUUUCAUGGGAACCCUCCUCCAUCACCUCACCCCUCCUCUUCGUUCUGCCACCUUCUGUACUUACCGGUUUUUGGUCUUUUUGGUUUUUCAGUUUUUUAGUGGUAAGGAAAGGAAGAAGAUCUGUUAAAAUAACAUAAAAUGUUCAGAAUAAUAUUAUGACCCCUAUUUCUCUUCAUAGUGGGCACUGGUGGUGUACAUAAGAAUUUUCUACAGACGGAUUGAUUCUCUCCCAUCUGCACCUCAAAUAGUCAAGCCAACAAGUGAUAGAAUAAGUCAGAUUGACAUCACCCUUUUUCCUCUUCUUUCAGGCCUCUUAGCAGAGAAGUAAAUAAACAAUGAAAGUAACCAAAAUUCAAGUAGAGAAAUAAAGGAUGACAGAGACUGACUAGUUCACAAGUUGAAUUAUCAAUUUCGGAAUCACCUCAAAAUCUUUGUUGCUUUAAGUGAACUAAUAUUCACUUAACUAUUUAAGUGAAUAUUAAGUGAACUGUCAUGUUAACAACAACAAUAGGAAGAAAGUGAAGCAUUAUAUUCAAGUUCUCCUCCCGUGAGAUUUGCGCGGUGUGUGUGUGGAGAGAGGGGGGUAAACCAUCCACUCACUUUUGAGAAACGAUCCUUAAUGCUUACAUGAUAG